CCCUUAGAUGUCCGGGGCUGCACGCGCGCUGCACUGAAGGAAUCAGCGUGGCUUUCUCCCUGACCCGAAAGGGUUGGGAAACCCGUUGAAUCUCCUUCGUGAUAGGGAUUGGGGCUUGAAAUUGUUCCCCAUGAACGAGGAAUUCCCAGUAAGCGCGAGUCAUAAGCUCGCGUUGAUUACGUCCCUGCCCUUUGUACACACCGCCCGUCGCUACUACCGAUUGAACGGUUUAGUGAGGGCCUCGGAUUGGUCUCGGCCCGCUCUUUACCGGGCGGCGCCGUUGGUCGAGAAGACGCUCGAACUUGAUCGUUUAGAGGAAGUAAAAGUCGUAACA
rnacentral:rRNA from 1 species